GGGGUCUUAGCUCAGUUGGUUAGAGCAGCCGGCUCAUACCCGGCCGGUCCAGGGUUCGAGCCCCUGAGACCCCACCA
rnacentral:tRNA from 1 species